GUUAACAUCACUGGGAGUCAAAAACCUAGGAAAAUGCAAGUUUAAACUUUAAGACAUAGCUGUUUACACCCAUAGGACUAAUACAACUUAAUUUCUGAGGAAAGAGGGAUGGAAGAACUGAUGAUGCAUUACAGGUCCACAUAGAAGAGAGAUGAAAUACACAAGUUCUUACACUGAAACCAUUCUAGCCUUGACUUCUCCACAACAUUUGGAGAAACGCAAGACUCCCUUCAAUAGGAGACUCUGCACAUGAUUGUUUACCUUAGAUGCUGCGCCAAUUCAUCACAAACCUACAGGAAUAAGAAGAGUUUCAAUUUUCUUACCAUUCUCUGUGAAACACCUCUUAAAAACAUGUCACUGGUAACGCUGUCACCAGUCAUGCUGCUGUGCCUGAAAUAGUCUCAUAACAUGUAAAGGAGAUGAUCUGGGACUUGUAUAAAGGUACCUGCAGAGAAACUAAAUAGCCUGGUGGCCUCACUAAGAUUACAGAGAAAACUAUCUAUGGACCUACGAAUCUCAAGAGAAGUAUAAGAACAGAAAGCAAAAAACAUCACAGCAAUAUCUUCACUGGCCUGCUUCCAGCACUGUCUUGGAACUACAUCUCUCCAGAAGCCCUCAGCUGAACUGUUGAUCAGAGAAAACAGCAGCUACACAACCACCCACAACUGGGAAGCAGAGAGAUGGGGAGAGGAAGUGACUGCUGAGCUGACCACAGCCACAGAACUAGAAACCAAACUGCAGAUUACCUGACUCUACUAUAGCACAUCCCCAUCAGAAGUAAGAAGGAAACUUUCAAAGAUGGAGAGAAUGAGAUGGGGAAAGAGGCUAGAGAAACACAGGAGGAAAGGCUGUAAAAAGACACAUAAAGCCAUGAAGUAAGUAUGAAACCGUUUGAAGUAUGAAAAAUAGGAGCAAUAGAAAAGGAAGUAUAUGGAAAGCAGAAAAGAUACAAAAAGGAAAAGGUGAGAGAAAUAAUUAUAUAGACAACUCUUAGAUUAGAAAAAAUAUUUUUACAGUAUUUUUUGUGUUACUUUAAUGACAGAAAAGUGAAAUUAAUUUAGGUCUACUUUGAGCUAUUUCAAACCAAUGUUGGUUUGGAGAUGAUUGUUAUAUUUAAGUGUUCUGGAUAAAUAUAUAUCAGGAUAUGAGUUAUAUAACAUGCAGACUGGAAAAAAAAAAAAACAAAACAACAAAACA